rnacentral:rRNA from 1 species
AUUGCCUUAGUACGGCGAGUGAAGCGGCAAAAGCUCAAAUUUGAAAUCGGCCACCAGGUCGAGUUGUAAUUUGUAGAUUGUAUCUUGAGAGCGGAUUAAAGUCUGUUGGAACACAGCGCCUUAGAGGGUGACAGCCCCGUAAAAUCUAUUCUCAUUGUAAGAUACUUUCGAAGAGUCGAGUUGUUUGGGAAUGCAGCUCUAAGUGGGAGGUAAAUUCCUUCUAAAGCUAAAUAUUGACGAGAGACCGAUAGCGAACAAGUACUGUGAAGGAAAGAUGAAAAGCACUUUGAAAAGAGAGUGAAAAAGUACGUGAAAUUGUUAAAAGGGAAGGGUAUUGAAUCAGACUUGGUGCUGUUGUUCAACUGUGUUUCGGCAUAGUGUACUCAGCAGUACUAGGCCAAGGUGGGGUGUUUGGGAGUGAAAAAGAAGUAGGAACGUAACUCUUCGGAGUGUUAUAGCCUACUUUCAUAGCUCCUCAGGCGCCUCAGGACUGCGCUUCGGCAAGGACCUUGGCAUAAUGAUUCUAUACCGCCCGUCUUGAAACACGGACCAAGGAGUCUAACGUCUAUGCGAGUGUUUGGGGUGUAAAACCCGUACGCGUAAUGAAAGUGAACGUAGAUAGGAGCAGCAAUGCGCACUAUCGACCGAUCCUGAAGUUUUCAGAUGGAUUUGAGUAAGAGCAUAGCUGUUGGGACCCGAAAGAUGGUGAACUAUGCCUGAAUAGGGUGAAGCCAGAGGAAACUCUGGUGGAGGCUCGUAGCGGUUCUGACGUGCAAUCGAUCGUCGAAUUUGGGUAUAGGGGCGAAAGACUAAUCGAACCAUCUAGUAGCUGGUUCGUGCGGAAGUUUCCCUCAGGAUAGCAGAAGCUCGUAUCAGUUUUAUGAAGGUAAAGCGAAUGAUUAGAGGUACUGGGGUCUAUGUGACCUUAACC